CCCAUUCCAGAGCCCGUGCCUCCACCCAAAGAAUGGCAAACUUGGAAUCCUGUUGGAUAAUAAAUUCAGUGAAAUUUAAGCAAACAAAGAAUUCCCAAGUCAUUCACAUACAACAACAAACAAGAGUUCAUGAUGUAUAAGAUGUGUGCAUGCACAUGAAUAUGUGUGUGAAAGAGAGAACUCUUCAAGAUGAUACACAGUCAAAAACCAAAAUAAAUUAUGAAAAUAAACUUCCAGAUUGCCCACAAAAAUGCUUAAGGUUUAAAAACUUUCAUAUUGAGACAGAAAAAUUGCUUCAUGGGUCAGAAAUAAUUGACUCACAUAAUCACUGAGGUUAACUUCCCCAAGCACUUAAACAAUAUAGAAAAUUGAGAGAAUGGAAAAAAAAACAAAAACAAGCAAAUAAAAAAACAGAAAAUAAUAACAAAAUAAACAAGUAGCACAAAAACCGAGAACACCAAAAAAAAAAAAAAAAAAGACAGAUUAUUUGAUCCAAAAAAGAAUUAAAAAUUGCAUAAAAAUGACUAAAUAAUGAAAAAUGAAAGCAGUCCCUAGGUGUGAAAAGUGAAGGCAACAGUUCUCAACUUCCAAAAAUUACAAAACAAAACCAUGUUCCUAAGUGAGUUCAUCAAAUUGGUUCAACAAGUUCACCGAGAUUCGGUUUCUGAUCAUGCUCAAAAGUCAAAUCACACAGAAGCAAACAUAUGAGUCAUGAAUUUCAAACAAAAAGAUAUGCCAGUCCUUAGUUUACUCUUUUCUUCAACUCGGUUUAUGGGUGGGCCCAAUGAACUUGAUGUACCGAGAAGAAGAUUAAAAGGCGAAUUGGUACAAUGAGAGGUUGACAUAUGAACAUUACUCAUUCUGAAUCUGACAACAAUAUGAUGCAGACUAAAAAACGAGAAUGAACUUAACAUUAAAACCCAUGAAUUGGGAAGCUAUAUGCCAAGAGAAGCAAAUUUUAGAAUUACAUUCAUAACCUAUACAGUUCAAACUUCCAACUAAAAAUUCCACAUAUCAUAAUUAAAACCAUGAGCCACAUGUGCUUGCCAAUACAUAUAGUGAAACAAUGACAAAUAGAAAGAAUCCAACACAAGAUCACAGCAUUACCGAACUGUUGGCAUGCUUCCAACAAAGCUGACAAGGAGAGAAAAAUGAUGGGAAAGUACAAAUCUAAAAGCACAAGAUAAUCCAAAAUGCUAUAAGCAAGGCUAAACCUGAUAUCAGCAAAGACCAAAUAGAAGGACUUCAAACAGGAAAAUGACAAAUUAGAAUGAAACACAUUCCAAUGUAAAAGAAAAGACCAAGAAUCCAAUGGUAAUGCAGAAAUUGCACUAACAAGUCAUACAUUUUUGCCAUCUGGAAUGGAAGAUUAGAAUGAAGAACAGAAAUUCCACAUCCAAGAUUAGAUCAAUAUCAAACCCAACAAUAAAACCAUGAAACUUCUGCAACACGUACAAAAGAAUCUCUAAUAUGCAUAGAAUGCAGCAUCACAUCAAAUCCAAACACACUCUAAUCAAAUUAAACACAAAAAAAAAAAAAAAAGCUUCAAAAUUUUAAGUAAAAGACAACAAAUCCACAUUAAAAACAGAGUCAAAUUCAAUAUCAGAUGAAAUCCCAAUACCUUGAAUCACAUUCAACAACAAAAAUUUCGAUUUUUGAAUAAAAAGCAACAAACUCACACAUAAAACAAACCCAAAUGCAAUGUCAAACCAGACCCUAACAGCCCGAAAUCAAAAUCGACAUCAACAGCUUCAAUCUUUGAAUGAAAAGGUAACAUACCCACAUAGAAAAUAAAAACCACAUGCAGCAUCCAAUCAAAACCUAAAAGCCUUAAAUUAAAAUCAACAAUAAAAUCUUCACCUUUUUCUCUUAAUAAAAUCCAAUAUACCCACAUGAAAAAGGCAAACCCAAUUGAAACCAAACCCAAAAAGAACAUAGAAUAUCUUUAACUAUCAUACAAAAACAAUAUGAAACUUCAAUCCUAUUCUCGAUUACUCACCCUGCAAGCAAUCACAAUUCUCAGCCUCUUUUCUCACAACAUCGAGAACAGAAUCAAUCAGCUCAGCUCCCUCUGUGUAAUGCCCUUUGGCCCAGUUGUUUCCGGCACCGGACUGGCCAAAAACGAAGUUAUCGGGUCGGAAGAUUUGGCCAAAGAGGCCGGAUCUGACAGAAUCCAUGGUGCCGGGUUCCAAAUCCAUGAGGACAGCGCGUGGGACGUACCUUCCACCACUGGCUUCGUUGUAGUAGACAUUGAUGCGCUCCAGCUGCAGAUCUGAGUCGCCACUAUACUUGCCGGUGUUGUCGAUGCCGUGCUCGUCGCAGAUCACUUCCCAGAACUUGGCUCCGAUCUGGUUACCGCAUUGACCACCUUGGAUGUGGAGGAUUUCUCUCAUUUUCUUGGGAAAGUGUGGAGGGAAAACAAAGAGAUCUACAGAAAAGGAAGGAAGAUUCAGGAGUGGCUACAAACAAGUUACAAACGUACAACAGAAGCUAGAAAGUCGUUCAUUAUUUAAGGGUGAGUUUGUGCAAAAAUAUUGGAAGCCCUUUUGUUUUCCCGUAUUUGCACUUUGACCCCUACAUUUGUGUUCCUUUCAAAGUUUAAUGGCUGAAGAAAAAGCCAAAUGUGCCCAAAUUAGGGCAAAAUAAAAGAACAUAUUGAUGAUUAGGACUAUGGUAAAAAUAUUUUUACCGUUGGCACUUCCAUUUCUUCUAUACAUGGUUUUGUGGAGAAUUAGUAAAUAUUUACUCCCUACGAACUGUUUUUUGUUCUUUAAAAUAAAAAACAUAAAAAACUUGUUUGGAGAAAGAGGGUAUGUUUUUAUUUUUUAUGUUUUUCGUAUUCUCAAAAACCAUUUUUUUAUAACAAUAAAAAGAUGUUUUCAUUAUUUUUUCACUAUUUAAAUAAUAUAUUAUUUUUCGUAUUUUUUCUUCCUUCUUUUUAUAUUUUCUUAGAUGUUUUUUGUAUUUUCACAAAGGUGAGCUCCACCCAACCAUCACACUCCCACCCACAAAGUUUUUCUUCUUUCUAAAAUUAUUGAAAUUAAGGGCCUGUUUGGUUGCUGUUUUUGAAAACUGUUCUGGAAAACAGUUUUUGAGAACAAUUUUUAAGAACAGUUUUUUGUGUUUUAAAAAAAAAAAAUUAUGUUUGGGAACUGAAUUUUGAAAAACAGUUUUUGUUCUCAAAAAUAAAAAAACAUGUUUGGUUGAGUUAAUAAAAAAAAAUUUAGAACAAAUAAAAUAAAAAACACGUUUGAAAGUUUUUUUUUUCUAAUUAAUAAAAUAUUUUCUUCAAGUAAUUUUAUAUUAUAAAUUUAUAAAUAAUUUUUAGAUAUAUAGUUCAUUUAAAUUAAAAAAAUUAUUUAUUUUAUUAAUUUAAAAAUAAAAAUAUUUUUUAUAUUUUUUUAAAAUAAAUCAAACAUAAUAAAAUCAUUUUUAUUAAUAUUUUUUUAUUUAAUCUUUAACUUUAUUAAAAAUUAUAGCAUUUUCUAUUAAAUUGAGAUAAAAUUGUUCUCAUGAUUUGUUUUUUUUUUUUUUGUCUCUACUAAAUAUAAAAUUCAAAAUGCCACCCUUCUCUGAUCGGGCAUCAAUAAGCCCUUUUCUGAAGGAAGCCCUUUUCUGAAGUUGCCCUCCAGCCGAGAGAAUCCCUAAAAGGCCAUAUUUUCCUCUGCCACUCUCAAUCCUCACAGGUACUAAUCUAAUCAUGUUAUUAUUAUUAUUAUUUUUUUUUGCAACCCCCGUUUGAUUCCCAAGAAAAUCCAUCCCCCAUUCGAUUUCCGGGAAAAUUCAUCCUCGUUUGAUUUCCGAGAAAAUCCAAGCAAAAACCCUGCAACCCCCGUUUGAUUCCCAAGAAAAUCCAUCCCCCAUUCGAUUUCCGGGAAAAUUCAUCCUCGUUUGAUUUCCGAGAAAAUCCAAGCAAAAACCCUGCAACCCCUGUUUGAUUCCCAAGAAAAUCCAUCCCCCAUUCGAUUUCCGGGAAAAUUCAUCCUCGUUUGAUUUCCGAGAAAAUCCAAGCAAAAACCCUACAACCCCCGUUUGAUUCCCAAGAAAACCCAUCCCCCAUUCGAUUUCCGAGAAAAUUCAUCCUCGUUUGAUUUCCGAGAAAAUCCAAGCAAAAACCCCAAGGAAAACCAAAAAUCCCUGCGUUUUCUGGAUCCGUUUUAGGGGUCUCUUUGCUAUUGUGCGAUUGGAUUUAAAUUUCACGAACCUUGAAUCAAAACUGAGAAACAAGAAGAGGCGAGCCACUGUGCUGGAGAAGAGAUGAAAACGGGAAGAAAAAAAAACACGGGAAACAGAUUGUUUUUUUUGGUUUAAUUUUGUUCUGUGAACAGUAAAAAAACGGGGAAAACAAGAUUUUGUUGUUCUCUAAACAGUGUCAUUUUGAGAACACAGGAAACAACAAAAACAAAAAUCACUCUCUCAACCAAACGAGUUUUUGGUAUUUUUUGUUUUUAAGAACAGAAAACUGUUCUUGAAAACACUAAACAAACAGCCCUAAUAUACUUAAUAUAGUUACAAAAUCAUCACUUGUUUUAAAAAAAAAUAUAUAGAACUAAUAUAAAAAUUUCAAAAUGGAAUAAUUUUUUUUUAAUUUAAAUGAAUUAUACAUAUGAAAAUUAUUUAUAUAUUUAUAAUAUCAAAUUAAUAGAAGAAAACACUUUAUUAAUUAAAAAAUAACUUUCAAAUAUAUUUUUUGUUUUAUUUAUUCUAAAAAAACUUUUUUAUUAACUCAACCAAACAUGUUUUUUUUUUUUUUUUUUAAACAAAAACUGUUUUCUAAAAUUCAAUUUCCAAACAAAUUUUUUUUUUGAAAACACAAAAAAAAUAUUCUUAAAAACUAUUUUUUAAAACAGUUUUCAAAAACAGCAACCCUUAUAUUUAUAAGGGUUUUUUUUUUUUUAAAAUGAUCACAUAAUGAAAAGAUGGUUCAACAAAAAGGUAUUUGGAGGUGUUAAUUCAAUAUUCAUUCAAAUUAAUUCAUUUGUACUUGCUUGGUCACUUCCAUUAAGAUAAAAAUUAGCCUUGGAAGAAAAGGAGUUCAUCACAAACUUGGAUAGGGUUGGUGGUUUGCUUUAUUUGAAGCGGUGAUAGAAAUGACUUCAUUUAUUGGUUUUAUUCAUUUAUAAUAUAAAAUUAUCUUUUAUAUUUUUUUUAAUUUAUAUAUAUAUAUAUGGAUAUAGAUAUGGAUAUUGUGUCAUCCAUUCACCACCAAUAUGAACAUCUUACAAUGAAAGAGCAAAACCUAUGAAAUCAUGCAUGUAGUUUGAUAGCCAGAGCGUUGUCAUAUGUUAGCAAGCGUCUAGACUCUAUUUCAAUUGAUUCCACAUAACAAAGUUUCAUUUAGCUUAUUAACUUUGGUUACUUGGACAAUUAAGGUUUUAUCUAAUGUGUGGUACUUUUAACCUAAUAUAUGAAUUAAAUUAUCAAUUUGAUUAGAAAACUUAAAUUAGCUUAGGUUUGCUAUUAACUAAGAUCACAUUUUAGUGUUUUUAUUUGAAGUAUUCAAUAGAAGUGUUUUCUUUGAAAAUGUUUUUUAAAAAAGUUCGUAUCAAUUUUUGAAAAUAUUAUAAAUGAUUUUUUAAAAUUUUUAAAAAUGUUUUCUAAAUUUUAUCUUUUAAGCAUGUCGGUAGUAAUUUUAAAAAAUAUUUCUAAUAUUUUUAAUACUUGAAUGGUAAAAAUCUUUAAGUAUUAAAAAGUUUAGAAUACUCUCAAAAUCACUAUUGAACAGGUUCUUUUUUUCUUUUCUUUUUUUCAAAAACAUUUUUUAAAUUAAGAGUCAAUUUGGUAAUAAUUAUAAAAAGUCUUUCUAACAUCUCUAAUAUUUGAAAAUUGUUAUCAUUUAAGUGUUAAAAAUGUUAUAAAUCUUUCUAAUAUUUUAGUGUUUCUAUUUGAAGUAUUCAAUAGAAGUGUUUGAAAAUGUUUUAAAAAGUUUCGUAUCAUGUUUUUCUUUAAAAAAUAUUAUAAAUAAUUUUUUAGAUUUUUAAAAGUGUUUUCUAAAUUUUAUCUUUUAAGCGUGUCUGGUAGUAAUUUUAAAAAAUAUUUUUAACCUUUUUAAUACUUAAAUGAUAAAAAAUUUUAAAUGUUAAAAAGUUUAAAAUACUCCUAAAAUCACUAUUGAAUAGGUUCUUUUUUUCUUUUCUUUUUUUUCAAAAACAUUUUUUAAACUAAGAGCCUGUUUGGUAGCGAUUCUAAAAAGCAUUUAUAACCUUUCUAAUAUUUGAAAAUUGUUACCAUUCAAGUGUUAAAAAUAUUAUAAACAUUUCCUAUAAUCACUACCAAACACAUUAUAAAAACGCUUCCUAAAAUCACUAUCAAACAAGCUCUUAAUUUUUUUUUUUAAAAAAAAAACACUUUUUAAACUAAGAAUACAUUUAAAAGUGAUUCUAGAAAGCAUUUUUAGUAUUUAUAACACUUGAAUAAUAAAAAUUUUUAAAUAUUAAAAAUAUUAAAAACACUUUCUAAAAUUACUACCACACGACUCUAAAAGUACUUCCUACAAUCACUACCAAUAAACUCUAAUUAAUAAACGAAUAAUGUGUAUCAACCAAUUUCAGAUAGUUGGAAGUUCCUUUCUCAUGCUUUUGUACAUGUGCUAUGCUUUGAUGAAAUAUGAAAAUUAAACAAGCCAAAAGUUGGAGGUUUCAAACUUGAACAAGGUAGGGCAAUAAAUAAUGCAUUAUAUCUAUAGAAAUGCAUUUAUACAUGCUAAAAUGCAACUUAUAUAAAUUGUUGACUGAUGCAAUACGUGGCUUUUCAAUACAACCAUACAAUAAUGGUCCAAUACACCAAUAUGUGACGUGUGAUACAGUUGGCAAGUGUAUUAAUCCUAACUACUAAUAAUAAUUGUAUCAUUAUAUACAAUUUUAGCGAUAUAUGUAUGUAAUUAGUCAUCAAUUAUGGAACAUGAUUUAUUUGAUUCCCCACUCUCUCCCUAUAUUUAUAUUUUUUAAACUUUCUUUUUAAAUCAAAAUAAAAAAAACAAUUGGUGAAUAAAUUAAAGUUGAGAUUUUUUUUCAAUGGAUGUUAGGAAUUUUUCUUUUUUCACCACACAAAACUUAAAAUAUUCUUAAGAAUGUUAAUUUUAUUUACGUGCAGUCUUAAAAUCAUUUAUUAUUGGAAAGUGUUUCAAAUUCCUAAUUAAUAUAAAUUCUUUUUUGUAAAUGUUAGGAAUUUGAGGUUAAUCCAAACUAUGGUAAUCACCCUAGAGGGGGGGUAAAUAGGGUGAUGGUCUCUUUUUCACAAAUUUAAACUAUACAAAAAUAAGAGACAAUUAUAUGCAAAUAUAUAAUAAACAAAAUAAAACAAUUGCAUAUAAUUUAAAAAAGUUAGGGAAGAUAGAGAGCAAACACGAGAGUUUAUAGUUUAUAGAGAACAACCUCUCAAGUGAUACCCCUCACUUGAGAAAAUUCCUCUCAAAGAUAUACAAAGAUUGAUCUCUCAAAAAUCCUAGCACAAGAACUUUAAGCUCAAAUGAUACAAGAAAAAUUAGGAUUGAAUGGUGCACUAAAGAUAUGCAAGUUUUGGAAUAAUGGUGCACUCAAAAAUACUCUUCCAAGGCUCAAAUAUAAUCAAGAAAGAUUUGGGAAAGUUUUUCUUUUUAAACAAUGAAGUUUGGAGCCUUUUUAUAGAAGAAAAAAGUCAUACUAGCCGUUAGGGGUUCGACCGGUCGAGCUAGGGGUCGACCGAUUGACUAGCCGUUAGGAAAAGUGACCGUUGGGCCUCAACCGGACCUCAACCGGUCCUCGAUCAGACCUCAACAGGUUGAGGUUCAACCUUGACCGAGAAGAGAAGGUCACUGGGAGAAAGAGAAAUUUUUUGGCCUCCCUCAACCGGCCCUCGACCGGACGAGCACAACCGGUCGACCGGUUGAACCGGUUGAGUCAUUUUUUUAGCUCAACACUCAACCUUUUUCAACUUAAAACCUUUUAACAAAAGUUUGAAAAUCAUUUAAUAAAAGGUUUUAGUUGAAAACAUGAAAUCAUCCAAUUCUUAAGAUAUUUAAAACAAUAUUACUCUUGGAUGAUUUUGGUGCAUAAAUAAAGAAUGAAAUGCAUGAAAGUCCUAGUGCACCAACAACCUUAUAAAGAGAUCUUAAGAAGCUUUGGUCUUGAAAAACUCUUCUCUUUGAGGUGGUCUUCUUCUUCAUGAUUUCUCCUUGACUUGAUUUGUCUUUGGAUUGCCACUUUGGAAGUCGUCUUGCCUAAUCACACUUGAAAUAUGAUCAUUAGUUCUAAACAUUGUUUUGUUAUCAUCAAAAUAAAGAUUAACUAAACCUUGGUUUCACAAUCUCCCCCUUUUUUAUGAUAACAAAACCAAGGUUGCUAAAAAGCUCCCCCCAAUAUAUGCUUCUUUGAAUUUAGCAAAUUUUCAAGUUUAGAAACUUCAAAGAGUAUAUUAAGGAUGCUCAAAAUGAUAUAAUCAAACAUAAAUAGCAUAAAGAGCAUUUAGCAAUUUGGCAAGACAUUAUUAUUAAAUAUGAUGCAUACAAAUAUAACCAAUAAAGCACAUAGCAUCAAUAUGAAUAGGAUUGCUAAAACAAUAUUGAAAUAUCUUCCCAAGUUAGCAACCUACCAUUACUUCUCCCCCUUUUUGUCAUCAACAAAAAGUUUCAAUAAAGUAUAUAAGGGAAAUCACAUGUUUAUCAAAAGUUUAAAAAAUAAACAAUAAGCAUGAUAUGAUUUCUCAUGAAAAUGAAUCUCCCCCUUUUUCAUUUGAGAAUAGUUUCCAAAUAAAAGAUUGCUCAUCUUUAGAGCAUUCCCAAUUUAAAGCAUGAUUUGGAAAAAUAUAUAUGGGAGAACAUAUGCAUUUAAAAAUAUAUAUAACAUGCAUUGAAUAAAACUUUUAGGGCCCACAAGCAUAUGAUCAUUCAAUUUUACAUAGUUAUAUAAAAAAAUCUUUAUGCCAAUUUUAUCAAAGUGAUACCAAAAGUUAUAUUAUCAAAAGAUAUACCAAGUGUUAGCAAAAAUGAUACGAAAUGCAAAUUUAGCUUUAGAAGGGAUACCGUUACCAAUAUUGUCAACGUGUUCUUUCCAAGGUAAGCAUAUCCUCCUUUUUGCAUGGAUCCCUACAAAACAAUUUUAAGAAACCUUUGGUACCCAUAUCUUUUUGGGUCCUAGAGGGUUAGUCUUUCUUUCCCUUAGAAUCCAAAAUAAUUUAGAGUUUUGAAGAACAUGAGGGGAUUUUCAAAUAUCACCAAAGUGACCUCUUCUUUCACAAAAAUCGCAAAUAGUUAAAGGCGAAAAACUAGAGGUUUCCUUUUUAAAAAAAAAAUUGAUUCUAAAAAAAUUUUUGAUUUUUUGAAAGGCUUGUAGGUUAACCUCUUUUUAUCAAAAAUGCAUUUUUUGAUUUGCCAAAAUCAUAUCAAAAUUCUUUUGGCCAUUUGAGAAUUUUUAGCUCCUCAUUUUCCUUUUCAAAAGAGAAUUUUGCCUUUUCAAUAUUUUCAAAAUUUUCAUUAUCCUCAUUGAGCUCAUUUAGAAGACAAGAAUCUUUUUAUUGAGAGAGAUAUUUUUGGAACCAAGUUUUUCAAGAUUAAAAUAUAAUUUUUGAAGCUCAUCUUGAAAAUCAAAAUGGUUAGAGUUGGAGUUUACCUCAUCACUUUCACUUUCACUUUCUUCCUCUUCAUCAUCAUUUGUUAUAGCCAUAAAGGCUAUACUUUUCUCAUUUUCUUCAACUCUUUGAUGAUUGUACAACUCUAUCUCAUAAGUCAUGAGUGACCCAAUGAGUUCUUCAAGUGAGAGCUUGGUGAGAUCCUUCGCUUCUUGAAUAGCUGUCACUUUUGUUUCCCAUUUCUUUGGUAGAGACCUUAAGAUCUUCAUGACUUUCUCUACUUCGGUGUAGGUUUUUCCCAAGGCUUCAAGUUCAUUCACAAUCACAAGAAACCUAGAAAACAUCUCAACAAUAGAUUCAAAAUCCUUUAUAGAAAAUAAUUCAUAAUCAUGCAUAAGGAUAUUGAUUUUAGACUCUUUAACUUGGUCAUUUCCCUCAUAAGUGACUUCUAAUAGUUUCCAAAUUUCUUUAGCCGACUUACAAUGCCAAAUACAAUUAAAUUCAUUUCUAUCAAUAACACAAUGUAAGAUAAAAAUGGCUUUGGCAUUUAAUUGAACUUUCUUUCUAUCAAGUUCAUCCCAUUCAUGCUUAAGUUUUGGAACCAUCACUCCAUUUUCUAAUUUUGAAGGAAUGUGGGGACCAUCUUCAAUGACAUCCCAUAAAUCAAGACUAGUAGAUUGGAUAAACCAAGUCAUUUUAGUUUUCCAAUAGGGAUAGUCGGUUCCCGUGAAAAGUGGAGGUCGGGUGGUUGAAAAACUUUCAAUUUUGGAUGAGCUUGAUGGAAUAGCCAUUACUUCUUAGACGGUUAAGUCUUAACAAGAAGCCUUGCUCUGAUACCAAUUGUUAGGAAUUUGAGGCUAAUCCAAACUAUGGUAAUCACCCUAGAGGGAAGGUAAAUAGGGUGAUGGUCUCUUUUUCACAAAUUUAAACUAUACAAAAAUAAGAGACAAUUAUAUGCAAAUAUAUAAUAAACAAAAUAAACACAAUUGCAUAUAAUUUAAAAGAGUUAGGGAAGAGAGAGAGCAAACACGAGAAUUUAUAGUGGUUCGGCACUUUCUUGCCUACGUCCACUCUCCUCAACCUCCUAACCGAGUGAGGGUUCUACUAUCUUGAAGCUUCAACCAAGCUUCCAAUCUCUUCACAAUUGGAUUAUGGUUCCAAUUCACCUUCUUGGACUUUUGGCUUCAAGCACCCUUUACACUUCUCAAGAGUUAUCCUACUCUUGAACAACCUCUCAAGUGAUACCCCUCACUUGAGAAAAUUCCUCUCAAAGAUAUACAAAGAUUGAUCUCUCAAAAAUCCUAGCACAAGAACUUUAAGCUCAAAUGAUACAAGAGAAACUAGGAUUGAAUGGUGCACUAAAGAUAUGCAAGUUUUGGAAUAAUGGUGCACUCAAAAAUACUCUUCCAAGGCUCAAAUAUAAUCAAGAAAGAUUUGGGAAGGUUUUUCUUCUUAAACAAUGAAGUUUGGAGCCUUUUUAUAGAAGAAAAAAGUCAUACUAGUCGUUAGGGGUUCAACCGGUCGAGCUAGGGGUCGACCGGUUGACUAGCCGUUAGGAAAAGUGACCGUUGGGCCUCAACCGGACCUCAACAGGUUGAGGUUCAACCUUGACCGAGAAGAGAAGGUCAUUGGGAGAGAGAGAAAUUUUUUGGCCUCCCUCAACCGGCCCUCGACCGGACGAGCACAACCGGUCGACCGGUUGAACCGGUUGAGCCAUUUUUUUGGCUCAACACUCAACCUCUUUCAACUUAAAACCUUUUAACACAAGUUUGAAAAUCAUUUAAUAAAAGGUUUUAGUUGAAAACAUGAAAACAUCCAAUUCUUAAGAUAUUUAAAACAAUAUUACUCUUGGAUGAUUUUGGUGCAUAAAUAAAGAAUGAAAUGCAUGAAAGUCCUAGUGCACCAACAACCUUACAAAGAGAUCUUAAGAAGCUUUGGUCUUGAAAAACUCUUCUCUUUGAGGUGGUCUUCUUCUUCAUGAUUUCUCCUUGGCUUGAUUUGUCUUUGGAUUGCACUUUGGAAGUCGUCUUGUCUAAUCACACUUGAAAUAUGAUCAUUAGUUCUAAACCUUGUUUUGUUAUCAUCAAAAUAAAGAUUAACCAAAUCUUGGUUUCACAGUAAAUAAUAUUGUAUAAAAUAUUUUUUAAUUUGAUAUGUGUAGACCCCUAUGAAGGUGAGGGCCCGAGGAGAGUCGAGGCUUCUUUUUUUUCAUUUUUUCAUUGCAUUUUUUUUAGAGUGGGGGCCCCCCUCUCUAGGCGUGGAUCCAGGCUACAUGGGACGUGCAGCAGCAGGGGGGUGAUGGCCGGCCAUACUUACUGAUGGGAUGAACAGGAAAGUAAGUAAUAGCUUGCCAAGGAAGAUAGAAACGAGAAAGGAGAAAGAGAAAAAGGAAGAGGAAGCCAGACGGAGGCAGGGGUUUUUCUGGUGCUUUCGGGGGAGCAAAGAUGGGAGUUUACAGCUCACUGAGAACCAAGCGAUUUUGCUCCAAGGGAGGCAUUCAGGUUUGAUCAUCUCCUACUUGAGGUUCUUCACUUUUACAGUCAUAUUUUACUCAUUUCUGAUGUUCGGGAUGCUCAUUUUUUAUUGUCUAAGACAUUAAGUUGGUUCUUCAUUUUUGUUUGUUUGAUCUCUGUUUAUUCCCGUGAAAGUUACGUGAUGCUUGCGUUAUCUCUUUAUAUGUUGAAACCACUCUUCUGGUCCUCCAUUUCCUCCUUAGAAGCUAUAGAGUUGCAUUCAACACCUACCUUUCCAAUCACAUGAGGAGUGUGUAGUCUGCAUAUAUAUAAUGAGAUAGGUAAAGGCAAGGGUAACAUGCACAGAAAUGAGAACUUCCACUCAUCACUAGUGGCCUUAGGUAUCGAAAAGAAGCCCUCUUUCUGUUUGGCCUUUAUCUAUAGAUCUUUCACUACUCGUACUGUGAUACUUUCUAUCGGACAGUGAUAUAUAUCUGAGUCGUCUUUCGUCCAUCUCUGAGCUUAUUAAGUGGGUAACAAGAGAAAAUUUCCAGCAUCCACUCACCAAGUCCUCCACUAAGUCCCCAUCAUCAAUGGUCGCAUCUUCCCGUAAGGUUUGGUUUUGAACACCUGUGGCUCGAAGUUGAUGGAAGUAGUGAUCACCAUUGAUGAGCUCCGGCGAGCUGGCGUCAAUGUGACCAUCGUUCCUGUGAGGAAGCGGCUUCAAGUUGACGCGUGCCAAGGCGUGGAUAUUGUUGCGGAUGCCCUAAUUUCUAACUGCGUUGGUGCUGAUUUCGAUCUCAUUUUGCUGCCAGGAGGAAUGCCAGGCACUGCUACUCUUGGAGAUGGUGACAUUCUGGAAAGCAUGGUGAAGAAGCAUGCUGAUGAUGGGCAGCUCUAUGCUAGAUUUCGUGUAGCACCUGCUGUGGCACUUGGAUCAUGGGGUUUAAUGCAUGGUUUGAAGGUGACCGGUUAUCCAUCUUUCAUGGAACCAGCGCUCCGGCGCCGUUUCGAAAGUCGCCGAUGUCACCACAUCCGGCAUCGAUUACACCGACCAAGGCUCCAGAGUCGGCGUCUCCAGCCAAGUCCCCGAAGCCGGCGACUCCGGGCAAGCCUCCAACGUCACCACCCACGGCUAGUCCCGCCCAACCCCCAUCAGAAUCGCCAUCGUCACCUGUUCCGGCCAUGGGGGUACUUGCACCGGUCGCCGUGGCGGCCACAUCUUCUGGAUGCCGCCAGACCGCCGCCACGACUCCUCUCUCCAUCGUGCCGUCGGUGGUGGAAGCUCCCUCUGAGGAUGACACGCAGGUGGAAAGGCAAGCCGUGAAGAAGAUGAAGUCUUGGGCUUAGGCUUAAGUUGGAGCCUAGGCCCAUGUGCAUUGAUGGAUGGCCCCAUUUCUCUUUAAGCCAAUCACUCUCAUGGCCCAUGUCCAUUUCAAGCUAGCCCAUUAGGCUGCCCAAAUUCUAAAUAAUUGUUUUAAACCUCUAACAUUCAUAAUUAAUUAAUUCAAUCAUUCCCUUUUAUUUGUUAUCUUAUUUUAUUUCUACCAAUUUAGUUAGCUCAACUUAAACACAACUAAAAGAUGAUUUAUUAGGAUGGAAAUUGUUUUUAAAACUUAAAAUUAUUUAUAUUUUAUCUUUAUUGCUUUAGUUAUGUCUAAUCAUCAUAUAUGAAAAUUUUUAUAUAAUUAUUUUAUGUUGAUCUCAAUGAAUUUUCCACAUUCCAAAUUUUAAGUCCCAUCUUCAAAACUUAUGUCUUUUAAAACCAUUCUUCAAAAAUCCGACUUCCUAAAUUAAUUUUCGGUUCCAAAUAUCCGACCAUUUACUUUCAUCCGUUUAGAUAUUACUCUUGUUAUUAUUAUUAUUAGUCUGUAUUUAUGUAUUUAAUUCUUCUAAAAAUUUCAAUCAUUAAAAUUCAAUUCUUCAAAAACCUGACUUCUUAAAUUAAUUUUCAAUCUCAAAAUUUCCAUUAUUCAAUUUCACUCAUUUAAAUAUUAUGUUUGUUAAUUAUUAUUAUUACUUCAUAUAUAUUUAUUUAUCCUCUUCUAAGAAUCACAUUCAUUAAAGUCCAAUUCCUUCAAAAAUCUCAUAUUCUAAUUUAAUGUUCAAUCCUAAAAAUUCCACUAUUCGUAUAAAUGUUAUUUUCAUCAAUUAGAAUCAUAAUCUCAUACUUAUCUAGUUAUUUAAAGUCUAAUCCUUCAAAAAUCCCUUGUCUUAAUUCAAUCUCUCAAUAAUUCAUUUAAAUCUUAUUUUCAUCAAUUAAAAUCAUUAUCCCCAUAUUUAUCUAGUUAUUUAAAGUCUAACCCUUUUAAAAAUCCCAUGUCUUAAUUUAAUUUUUCUGUAAUUCGUUUAAAUCUUAUUUUCAUAAAUUAGAAUUAUCAUCAUAUAUUUGUCUAGUUAUUUAAAGUCUAAUCCUUCAAAAAUCCCCUGUCUUAAUUCAAUCUCUCAAUAAUUCGUUUAAAUCUUAUUUUCAUCAAUUAAAAUCAUUAUCCCCAUAUUUAUCUAGUUAUUUAAAGUCUAAUCCUUCAAAAAUCCCAUGUCUUAAUUUAAUCUUUCUGUAAUUCGUUCAAAUCUUAUUUUCAUAAAUUAGAAUUAUCAUCCCAUAUUUAUCUGGUUGUUUAAAGUCAAAUCCUUCAAAAAUCUCAUAUCUUACUUUAAUCUUUCUGUAAUUCGUUUAAAUAUUAUUUUCAUAAAUUAGAAUUAUCAUCCCAUAUUUAUCUGGUUAUUUAAAGUCUAAUCCUUCAAAAAUCCCCUGUCUUAAUUCAAUCUCUCAAUAAUUCGUUUAAAUCUUAUUUUCAUCAAUUAAAAUCAUUAUCCCCAUAUUUAUCUAGUUAUUUAAACUCCAAUCCUUCAAAAAUCUCAUGUCUUAAUUUAAUCUUUCUACAAUUCGUUUAAAUCUUAUUUUCAUAAAUUAGAAUUAUUAUCCCAUAUUCAUCUAAUUAUUUAAAGUCCAAUCUUUCAAAAAUCCCAUAUCCUAAUCUAAUUUUUCAAUCCUAGAAAUUUCAUUAGUCGUCUAAAUGUUAUUUUUGUUAAUUAGAAUUCUUAUCCCAUAUCUAUUUAUUUAUAUAAGGUCCAAUUCUUCAAAAAUCCAACUUCCGAAUUAAACUUUCAAUCCCAAAAAUUCUACUAUUCAUCUUUAUUAGCCUAAAUAUUAUUCUCGUUAAUUAGUAUUAUUAUCCCAUAUUUAUCUAUUUAUUUCAAUAGUUAAAGUCCAGUUCUUUAAAAACCCAACAUCCAAAUUUAAUCUCCAAUCUCAAAAACUCCACUGUUGACAUUUAGCUGUUUAAUGCUUAUUUUCGUUAUUAAUGUUAUCUCAUUCAUUUAUUUAGUCACUUGUUCAUAUAUUAAAAUUCCAUCCCUAAAUAAUCCUUUAAAUUUUCGAUCCCUAAGUUCAAUUUCCAAUUUCCGAAAUUCUAACUUUCUCAAUUAUUUAUCCAGUCAUUAUUAUCUCGUCAUUAUUAUUAUUCCAUUCAUUUAUUUAUUCACUUAUUCAUUUAUUUAAAAUUUCGUCUUUAAAUAAUUCUUCAAAAUUCCGAUUUCCAAAUUUAGUUAUCUGAAACUCCAAUUUUCCAAUUUUUGAACUUAAUUAUCAGUUUCCAAUAUCUUAAUUCUCGCAUUUCUUCCAUUACUUAUUUAUUAUUAUCAUUUUAUCCAUUCAUUUCUAAAAAUUCUGCCUCCGAAUGAUCCCCAAGAUUUCCAAUUUUUAUAAUUCGAUUAUCACAGUUUCUACUCCUCAAAUGAUUUUCAAUUCAGGUUUCCUUCAAAAUUUAAUUUCCGAGGCCCCAAUUUUCGUAACUUAAUCCCGAACUCUCAAAUAAUUUUCAAAAUUCCAAUUUCUUUCAAAUCUAAUUUCUAAAAUUCUCAUUCUUAUAUUUAAUUUCUAAAAAUCCAAUUUUCAAAUAAUCUUUAAAGCUCCAAUUUUCAAAUAAUCUCUGAGACUUCAAUUUUCAAAUAAAUUUCAAAAAUCCAGUUUUCCCUCAAAUAGUUUUAAUUUCUAUUUGGUGACGCAUGCGAUAUGUUUUGUGCUCUUUAUUAUACACUGACCCCAUUUUUAUGAUAGCGCAUUGCUCAUUCGUGGCCCAGGUACGCAUCCAUUCCCAUUUUGGUCAUCCUCUAUGCAUGUUUCGAUUCUCAUGUGUGCAUGGUCGAUUUGAGUAUCCGUUGAUUUUCCUAUUGAUCACCACGUCAGCUUCAUUUUAUUAGUAGAGACCCGACUUUAGGGACUUAGAGGGGUGCUACGGUCUUUACCGUACCUUCCCGAUGAGUAACCUGACCCCCGAACCCGAUCCGGUUUUUCACAAACCACCUUUUCCAAAAUAAGGAGUCACACUUAGGGUUUUUCUUUCUUAUUUUGUUUACCCUUUAAAAAUAAAACAAAAAUAAGUGGCGACUCCAAGUCAUUUUUGAAUAAAUAAAAUCAUUUUAUUUUAAUAUAUUAAAUUUUCUUAUAGAAUAGGAAAAGUUAUUAGAAAUCUCUUUAUAAAUACUUUAGUUCAUGAAGGGGAAAUUUAUAAAAUGGAGAUAGGCUUGUAAAUACUACAUGUGGUAGACUUUGAGGAAGAAUGAGAGACAUCCAAUAAAGUGAAAGGGUUUGUGAUUAAGAGUGUAGAUAUAAGGAAUGGAUAAACAUGAGAUAUUUCGAAAACUCAAUAAUUGUAUAUGAUUUAUAUCAUUUGUAAUAUUUUCUAUGAUAUAAUAGAAUGAUUCUCUCUUAUUCAUGAAUGUAUGCAUAAUUGGUCAAACCACGUUAAAACCUCAUAUAUCUUUCUAUGGAUUGUUUUAUCUUUGUAUUUUUAAAUUAAAAUUAUUUGUCUUAAAACUUUAGUUGGUACAAUAAACUAGUAUCAAAGCUCAAGUUAAAGAUUUUUAAAAGAGUUAAAAAUAAUAAAGUACAUAAGAUGAUGACAAAAGGAUUUUUAGUUGAAAGUGGAGUUGAUUGUUAUCUGUCAUAAGGAUGUGAUACAAAAAGUGUUAGAAAUGGAAGAUUGAUUUAAUGGAAUUUGACCUAAGGUGAAAAAUUUUCGAAAAUGUUCUAAAUUCCUAAUUAAUAUAGAUUGUUUUUUAUAAAGAAUAUUAUAUGGAAUAUUUUCUAAGUUGAUAUAUUAUUAUAACAUUAAAUUUCCUUAUACAAUAAGAAAAUUUAUUAGGAAUAUCUCUAUAAAUAUUCUAAGUCAUGAAGGAAAAAAAUUAUAAGAUGGAGAUGAGCUUGUAAAGACUAUAUGAGGUGGAUAAAGAUAUGAAGAAGAAUGAGAGAUAUCUAAUAGAAUGAGUAGAUUGUUAAUUCUCCACUUUGACUAUCCCCUCACUUGUAGCUCUAAGUUUAAAGAGAAUGGAGAUAAGCUUUUCAUUUCCUCCCUCACAUGUUCAAAAUCUUUCAAUGAAAAGGUAUCAUUUCAAGCUAGUAGCGGACUCAUCUUUUAAUUCCCCAUACUACACAUCCUAAGUAUCCAUGAUCAAUACCCCUAUUCCAACUUUUUUUUGAGUUCACUUUGUAUAGACAUUUAGUUAGUACAAUAACUACAUAUGGUAAUCAAAGUUGGUUAAUUUUCAGCCACAUAAAUAAGUAAAAAGUGGACUUGGGUGGUGUUUAUUUAUUUAUUUAUUUUUACUUCAUUCUAAAUAGAACUUUAAUGUUUAAUAGUGUUAAGUAUUAGGUUGUUUUUUUUUAUAAUAUUUUAUUUCUAUUAAGUAUUAAAAGAUAAAACAAAAUCAACAUAUUACUUUUUUUAUUGACCAAAAAAUUUAUAAAGGACCUAAAGUUUGAAAGCAAAUUGCUUUUAGCAAAAAGUUAAAAAAAAACAAACACCUUUUUGCUAACUUAUAUGACUAUUGAUAUUAGUAGAUCUUUUGUAGAGAAAUUCCACUAUUUUUACUCCACCUUUAAGCCACUCCACACUUGGUUUAACAUACUAAUUACCUAGCUAAUCAUUUCCCUCAUUUGUAGUAGAAUUUCAACUACUAGUUUUUUCAAAUCUCCAAAUGCAUUGAUUUGACUUUCACCACAUUCAUCACCAUGGACCAUAAUUAGGAUAAAUUAUCAAUUAUAACCUUACCCUAAAUUAAGUAACUAAACGAUCUACUAAUGGGCUCAUUCAUUAAGUUAUUAAUGAAUGCCCUUGAUGAAGUUUGCAAAAGGGAUGAUAACCGCUCCCACAUCCAAUGGAAGUCCAAAUGAUAUUUAUUCUAAUUAUGAGAUGAUUUUCUUAAGGUAAAUAUUAACAUGUCUUCUAAUUAAUUAUUAAUUUAAAACUUUCUUAUAAAAUCUAAAUUAUAAUUUUUUUUCAUAUGUAGGAUGCUAUUGGUGCAAUUGAUGAGACUCUUAUUCAUGCACAUAUCCUAAGAUACAAACAAUCCCAUGUAGAGGUUGUGAAAAAAGGAGAUUGUUUCCAAAUGUUGUGGUCAUAUAUAAUUUUAACCGAAUAUUUAUUUAUGUAGUACUAGUUGGAUGAGAAGGGGCCAUACAUGAUUCAAAAAAUUUGAUAGAAACUUCAAGAUUCUACUAUAAGACUUUUUAUGUCAUCUGGUGGUAAUCUCAUGUAAAUUAAUUUAUUUUUAGUGUUUUAAAUAAAAUUCUUUGUUAGAAAAUUUGAAUUUAUGAUGUUAUGCUUUCUUCGGAUAAAUAUAAUUUAGUAGAUAUUACUUAUUCGCAUGCCAGAGGAUUUAUGGAGUUGUAUAGACAUGUUAAAUAUUGGUUAUCAUAUUUUGAAAUAGGUGGUCUUGCAAGGGGAAAGGAAGAAAAUUUUAAAUCAUACGAAUGCUAAGCUGCGAAAUGUUAUUGAACUAGCAAUUGGAAGCCUUAAAGCACACUUUUCAAUAUUAGAAAGAAUAGAACCUUACCAAUUUCAUACUCAAAUUCACAUUGUAAUUACUUAUAAUGCAAUACAUGAUUUUCUUUGAAUAUUACUUGCAAUUAGUGAUAAAUUGUUUUCCUAAUUUAACAAUGAAAUUAAUGGUUUGUUUGGCUAUGUUUUCUUAAACUUGUUUUUAAAAUUGUUUUUUAUUCUUUAACUUAAAAACAAUUUUUAAAAAUAAGUUUAAGAAAACAUAGCAAACGGGCUCAUGUUUUCUUUUUAUUUUUAAAAAUGAGUGAAAACAACUCCUACAUGUUCUUUAAAAAUUAUUCUCUAUUUCACUUUGUUUUAUGAAAACGACAAUUAAACAGUGUUAAAAAAAUUUUUAAAUAGUUUUUAAAUCACCCGGUCAAAUAGGCUCUAAAUUUACAAGGCCAAAUUGUAAAUGAAAUUAAUCAAGUAUAUAUUGACCAUAAGUUUUUUUUUUUUUUUUGUCAUAUGCAUGAACAAUAUAUUUUUAAUAAAUAUAAAUAAAUUACAUAUUAUAGUUGAUUUCAUGUGACAUUAUAAUUGUUUGAUUUUUUUAAUGUUAUUUUUAAUAUAUUAUGUUGUAUAUUUAUUUAGUGAUAAAAUAUAAUUUAUAUUUAUAUAGCCAAUAUUUUAUAGUUAUUUUAUGAAAUUUUAUGUGUGUACAAUAUUUUUAAUAUGAAUUUUUAAUAAACAAAUUUAUUUACUUAAAAUUAAUAAGGACGAAUAUGCCAAAUAGAUGAUUAAAAAAAAUUGUAAGUUGACUUUGUCGAACAUCCUUGAUGUUUAAAAGUUAAAUUAAGUAAUAAGUUUUAAGUAAUUAAAAUGAUUUAGGGAGAAUUGUGUUUUAGGCCCAUAUUAAGAUCUGGUCCAUAUAUCUUACAUAAUUAAGCCCAAUACCGAAAGAAAGUCUGAAAAUUAAUAAGAAUGAUAUUGUCAUUUAUUAAUCCCUAAAAUACCCUUAACCCUUACAUAGGUAGAUGGUGAGUGUGAAUUAAUUUCAAUUUUUGUGUUUUUUUUUUCCUUUUCUAUUCCCUAUUAAGUAUUACUUAUUUCUAACUUUUUUGUUUCUUUUUCUUCCAAUCUAGAUUUCUAGUUUAUGUCAAAUAAAAAGCAAUAAUGUUUUUCUUUUUCUUUUUUUCAUUUUUAAAAAUAUUGAAUCUUUUUACUCUUAUUAUAAGCAAGGAUAAAAAUUUUAGGAUUUUUCAUCCAAAUAUUUUUUAUUUUUUAUUUUUAUCUUAUAGUUUAAUUUUCAUUUUUUAUUUUAAAUUCAUAUUACCCUUUCAUUUGUACUUUUCUCUUAUUUUUAAUUAUUUUUUAUAUUUUCUACAUUAACCAUAUUUUAAAAAUUUUUAAAAUUGACACUUCACUCUUAUAUAUAUAUAUAUAUAUAUAUAUAUAUAUAUAUAUAUAUAUAUCCUUUUAGCUUUUUAAUUUUUAAUGUUUUUAUUUUAAAAUUUUUUAAAAGAUAAAUUUAUUAAAAAAAAUAACUAAGAUAUGAAGUUCUAAUAUUAUAUUAAUAAUUUUUCUUAUCUAGAUAGACAAAUGUAAAGUAUUUUGACUCACAACAAAAAAAUUGUCAAUACAAUUUUUUAGUGUAACUUUAGAAAUUAAAUUUUAAAUAAAAUAUAUUAUAUAAAAUUUUAUCUAAAAAUUGUUGAAAGUGGUAUUUAAUUUUUUUUAUUGACUUUCAAACUUAUCUAAUUUUUUACUUGAAAGGUAAUAGAACAUGUUUACAAAAAAAAAAAAAAUAGUUUUUCAUUUUUUAAAUAAAUGAGUAUAAAUAUUUUAAAAUAAUUAAAGAUAAUUUUAAUAAAAAAAAUUGAUAAAUAUGAUUAUAAUUUUAAAUAUAGAUUCAUUUGGAUAAAAUUUCACAAAAAAAAAAAAAAAAGAAAUAGUGGAAAGAAAGAAAAUUGCUAAAACUACAAAAACAAAAUAUGCAAUUACAAAAUUUUGAUAAUGAAAUUUAAAAAUAAAAUUCGAAACAAUUCUUGAGUGAGAGAAUUUGAGUGAGGAAAAAUCAUUGAGUUGAAAAAAAUGGGAAAGUUUUUCAAAAUCACUUGAAAUCCUUAACAAAAAGUAGUCUUGUACACCCUUGUACAAUUAGCAAAUUUGUCUUGUACAGUUAGUGUAAUACCCUUAUACAAUAACUCAAAUUUCAUACAUCAUCUCAUGAAUAUCUGACAAUAAGUUAGUUAACCAUGUUUGCAUUGGUUUUGUUUUAAAAAAAAAAAAGAAAAAUUAUUGUAUAAUUUUGUUUUACAAUCAUCAUAAGUGAGAUACCUAUUCAAAUAAUCAUAUACAAGUUAGAUAAAGUGUAUGAGAUGAAUGUAUGUUUAACCAAUGUGUAAGGAAUGUCAUCUAUCAUCGGUUAGCGGAAAUAAACAAAUAAGUUUUUCAGAAUCACUUAAAAUCCUUCAUAAAUAAUAGUCUUGUACACCCUUGUACAGUUAGUAUAUUUAUCAUGUACACUUAGUGUAAAUACCUUGUACAGUGACUCAAAUUCCAUAUACCCCACUCAAUGUGUAACCAUAGGUAGAUUAACCAUGUUUUCAUUAGUUUGGUUCAAAAAAUAGUGGAAGAUGGAAAAACAAAAGUUUCUCUCAAACAUCAUUAGUGAGAUAAGUAUUCAAAUUGUCAUAUGCGAGUUAAAUAAAGUGUAUAAGAUGAGUGUGUGAUAGAGGAAUGUGUACAUUUAGAGUGUGCAAUCCUUAUAUGACAAGAUACAAAAAAAAGUUGUCCAAAAUUGAUUGAAAUCUUUCACAAAUGAUAGCCUUAUAUACCCCUUGUAUAGUUAGAACAUUUGUCUUGUACAGUUACAACAUUUGUCUUGUCCAAUUGAACAUUACCUUGUACAGUUAGUAUAAUACCAUUGUACAAUGGUGCAAAUUUCAUCUAUAUGCAUACAUUAUGUGCCACAUAUGAUGUGUGAACCAUGUUUCCAAUGGUUUGAUUUAAAAAAUGAUAUAAAACGUAAAAACAAAAUUUUUCCCUAAACAUAAUUAUUAAGGUAAGUAUUUGAAUUGUUAUGUGCGAGUUAAAUAAAGUACAUGAAAUAAAAGAAUUUGUGGUAGGAGAGCGUAUAAUCCUUAGAUGACAAGAAAAAAAAAAUUGUUCAAAAUGUACAGUGUUGUACACCCCUUGUACAAUUAAUGUAAUAACCUUGUAUAAUGGUAUAAAUUUCAUAUAUAUGUAUAAAUUAUAUCCACAUGAGUGUGUAAACUAUAUUCCCAAUAAUUUGACAUUUAAAAUAAUAAAAACAAAUAAAAUGUUAUUUUAUUUUAUUUUCAAUGCAAAAUGUAAUUAAAAAUAAGACAAAGAAAUACCUUAAAAACUAUUAUUUAAGUCAAGUUUAUUUAUUUAUUUCUUUUUAUUUUUGAAAAUAAAGAAAUAAUAAUAAAAAAAUUAUUUAACCAUAAGUAAUAUGAAUAUAAGAUCAAUUAAAAAAUACCAAAUUUAUUUAUUUAUUUCAUUUUAUUUUUGGAAUUAAAGAAAAAAAUAAUAAAAAAUUUAUUUAACCAUAAAAAUAUUAAUAUAAGAUAUGUUAACAAAUAGAAAUAACCCCAAAUUUAUUUACUUAUUUCAUUUUAUUUAUUUAAAUUUGAAAUUAAUUUAUUUUAAUAGAUCAAAAUGUGCACAAUUAAUCUAUUACUUUGUUAAUUAUGGAUAUAUUAAAAUUUUCUAUUAGACAAAAAAUAAAUAAAGAAAAUAAAAUUAAAAAGAGUAAUAAAUAUAUAUAUAAUUUAGUUAUUUAAUUAUUUUUCAUGUAAAAGAUAGUCACACAUAAUUGACCAAUUCCUUUGUUUAAUUGUAAACAUACUAUAUAUAUUUUUUUAUUAAAAUAACUAAUGAAAAAAAAAUGGACAAUCAAUGAAUAAAAUUUAAUUCUUUUUAUUAUUUUCAUAUAAAAAAUAGUACUAAACAAGGUUUUCAAUUUUUAUUUUUAAAAAUAGUUUUCAUUUUUUAAUUAAAUAUUUUUUCAAAAAGAAAAUAUAAAAAAUAUAAAUCAUAUUACAAUUUUUUUUAGAAAGUAUUUUUUAAAAUAGUUUUUGAACAUAAUUUUUCUUUAUUUACAAUUAAAAAUAGAAAAUAAUGUUGAUUUUUAAUUAUUUAUAAAAAAUAAAAAUAAAAAACAAUGAAAAAUCCAAAUUAUUAAAAUAGAAUUAUUAUGGUCGCGUGAAUAGUGGUGUGAAAAUUGUUAAAAUCCAAAUUUUAAAAAAACUUAUGUGAAAGAUUAUUGGGUAUUUUAGUCUAUCAUUAUUUUAUAUCCUUAAAAGGUAAUAUAUGAAAAUUUGAAGGGUAUAUUGGUCUCUUAAUAUCUUAUAUCAUUUCUAUUAAUUAUGUUAGUUAUAUGAACCAAAUGUUAAUUUUUGGACCCAAUUGGGCCCAAAACACAAUUGUUCCAAUGAUUUAAAUAUAAUAUAAUUUAAAGUGAAUUAAAUUUAUUAAAUAAUAAGUAUUAAAUUUUACCGAACAUCCUCUUUAUAGGUAUUUUUUUUUCUUAUUUAUAUAACAAAUUAUAAAAAAUACUAUAAAAAAUUUUAAAUUUUUUUUUUUUACGUUCAAAUGCUGAUUAAGUCUUUUAAAAAUGUAUGCAGUGUCUUAUUAAUAACACUGCAAAUUAGAAAUGUUUAAUCCACAAUACUUCCUCUGGACCUAAGACAACUAAAACUUAUGCUUUCUAUUUGGAGUUUGGAUCCCAUACUUCGAAAAUUGGACAUGAGAAUUCGUGUUGAUAGAUCAUGUUCAUAGUGUCUCAAAACUCAAACACUCAAUUAAUUAUUAAGGUGAACUCAAAUAUGAUUGGAAUAAUAUUAAAUUAAAAACGAGAACCGAAACAUAACCUAAUUAUUAAAUAAUAUCAUGUAUAAAAAAUUAGGUUUUGAUUGAAUCAAUACGAUUAACCUCUCAAUCUAAUAUGUUUAUGACUUAAUUGAUCUAUUUAAUCAAAAUAAAUUUUAAAUAAGUCAAAUGUAAGUUAAAUAAAUUAUAUUUAUAAUUAGAUUAAUUAAUAUGGUUAUUAAAUAAGAUUAAUUCGAGUCAAAUUAAAGAACAACUUGUUUAUUAAACGGUGAAGCAACUCCAUACAAAUUUGAAAUAAACCAAUUAUAUUCAAUUCAAACCCAUUCCAGCUUCGAGGUUCCGAUUGUGUUGCCGUAUCGAAUCAAACUCUGCCACCCCAACCAAAAACACCCAUGAACAUUGCUUUCUAUUUCUAAUUCAUAUCAAGAGGAGCUUGGGCUUCAGCCCACCAGUUUUCCACAUUUAGGGUCCAUUAACCACCACCAAAAUGGGCAAAAGGCCCACAUAGCCAAGAGGUUUACACUGGGCCAAAUCCUUCAAUAAAAACCUUCAUACAUGAGAAAUUGGACGAGGUCUUACCAACUUUGUCGGUUUACAAUUUGCUUUCACAUAUACAAAAUGGGUUACUCCCUAUUUCCUCAAUUUAUCAUUAAAAUAUCCCAACAUGUGGCCACCAGGAAACGAAAAGACAAAGUCUUAUAUUUGGCCACCAAUCAAUCUGACUAUAGAGUUUGUACCAAUAUUUAUUUAGGUUUCAUAUGUAAGCAACUCAAUUUUUAUUUAAAAAACAAAAGGUCGAUCAAACAACCAACAAAAAUUCUUAGGCAUGUUAGAAGGUAACCCAAAAGUCUUAGUUUCCAUCAUAUGUAAUUUUUUAAAUUCUAUCUACUUUGUUUUGGUUGAGUUUCAAGUCAAUUAAUGUAUAAAUAUUGCAUAUAAAAAUUUCAAAAUUAUAUUAUUAAGCAAGCUCCCAAUGGAUUUAUGAUUCAAAAUUGAAGAACUAGGACCUACAUAGCCAAAAGGCAACUUAGUUGAAAGGUGCGUCUCCUACUAAUUUAGUUGUAUCAUUGAAUGGCUAAGGGAAUUCUAUUAAAGGUUUAUUAAAAUAAUAUUUAAAUAGAAUUGAAGGUUGUUAUGACUAAAUAGCCGUUGAAAUAAGUAUCAUAUUUAUGGAAGAAAUCAAUUUAAAAAAUUUAAGAACAAAAAUUUUUUAUCCUUUUAUUUUAUAAUUUUUACUAUCAAAUUUUAAAAAUUAAAAUUAAACAUAUGUUAUAAACAUUAUCUUAAAUUAAAAAUUAAGUUUAACGAAACAUAUUCUAAGUGGGUAUUUGGUAAACUAAUUUAAUAACUUAAAGUGACUUAAUAACUUAAUUUAAAUUAUUAAGUAAAUUAAGUAUGUUUGGUAAAAAAAUUUAAUGGUAUGACUUAAAAGAAAAAAAACAGCUUUAAGCAAUAAGUAAAAACAAUUAACAUAUUCUUAAGUCCAUAUUUUCAUUUUACCUUUUUAUCCCCAUUUGCUUUAAUGAUUUCGACGAUCUCCUUUACUACUCCAUCACUUUCACGGUUACUUGACCUCCUUUGUUAUAAUUAUAAUUUAUAAAAAUAAAUAUGUCAAUUUAGUAAUAUAUAAUAAAUUUUAAAUUAAUUUUAUCAAAUAACAUUAAUACUUAAAAUAAGAAUUAAAGAAUAUAUUUUAAGUCAACAACUUAAGAAUAAUUUAACUUAAAAUCAACUUAAAUCAUUAAGUAAUAAGUAUUAAACUUUACCAAAUGCGCUCUAAAUUUUAUAUAAGUUUAUCUUAUUAAAACUCAUAACAUUUUUUAAACCAUAAUUUAUUGGCACUCAUUUGUACAAUAAAAAAAUAAGGGUACCUUUUAAAAGCGUAUAUUUAAAAAAAAAAAAACAAUUUUAAGGAUGGUUUAAAAAGACUAAGGCAUAAAAUAAAAAAAUUAUUAUUUCAAAAUUUAAAAUCUUUAGAAGUGAUUUUUAAACACAUAAGGUAAAAUUAUACUUUUAUACAAAAUAAUUUAUUUUAAAAGUGAUUUUUCAAAUAAAUAAAAGAAAUGCUAAAGUGGGCUUUCAUACUUAUUCAAAUGGCCUAUGUGUGAAAGGAUGGAAAGUG
rnacentral:lncRNA from 1 species